rnacentral:rRNA from 1 species
UCUGGUUGAUCCUGCCAGUAGUCAUAUGCUCGUCUCAAAGAUUAAGCCAUGCAUGUCUAAGUCCAAGCUGUGUUUACACGGCGAGACCGCGGACGGCUCAUUAAAUCAGUCGUUGUCCUAAUGGGCAAGUUAUUCUUACUCGGAUAACUGUGGUAAUUCCAGAGCUAAUACAUGCAACUCAAAGCUCCGAGGAGAGAGGGUCUUGCGGCUCUCUCUCUGACGAGUGCUUUUAUUAGACCAAACUGCUGGGGUUCCGACUCUGUUCCUCCUUCGCGGGGUUGAGAGAAGGUCCUGACUGCUCUGUGGUGACUCUGGAUAACCUGAUUGACAAGCGCACGUACCUUUCAACAAGGACGGCGCUGCCACUUUCGAGUGUCUGCCUUAUCAGCUUUCAAUCGCUCGUUAUACGCGACCGAUGGCUUUGACGGGUAACGGGGAAUCAGGGUUCGAUUCCGGAGAGGCAGCCUGAGAGACGGCUACCACGUCCAAGGACGGCAGCAGGCACGCAAAUUACCCAAUCCCAGCACAUCUGGGGGAGGUAGUGACGAAACAUAACGAAGCGUGCGCCCUUCAUGGGUCUCGCUAUCGGAAUGAGCACUUCUCUAAACACUCUGUUGAGAACCUACUGAAGGGCAAGUCUGGUGCCAGCAGCCGCGGUAAUUCCAGCUUCAGUAGCAUAUAUUAAAGUUGCUGCGGUUAAAAGGCUCGUAGUUGAAUGUCUGUGCCGGGUCGUGGCAGGUGGACGCUGGUAGUUUACGUUGUUGUUACCCCUCGUGGUGCACGCGUUCUCCCGUCCGUUACAAUCCUCCGCGCCCGUGCACAAAAGGGCACUGCCGCUCCUCGCGGGCGGUGUGCCACAUGUCACCCUGAGUAAAUCAGAGUGCUCAAAGCAGUCGUAAAGGGCCUCGUGCCCUGUUAACAGACGGCGUUGGGAGUGAGGGCCAAGCGGUGGUGACACCGGGCGGCACGAUCUUCCGCGCUCAGAAGGACCGACUUGAUUUUGCAUGGUAUGUCGGAAUACGACGUGGGGCGCUGGCUAACGGUCGUAGCAGUGGUAUAAGCCAGCCUCCACGUAAUGAUUAAAAGGGCUUGUCGAGGGCAUUGGUAUUGCGGAGCGAGAGGUGAAAUUCUAUGACCUUCGCAAGACCUCCCGAAGCGAAAGCGUCUGCCAAGGAUGUUUUCAUUAAUCAUGAACGAAAGUUAGAGGAUCGAAGGCGAUCAGAUACCGCCCUAGUUCUAACCCUAAACGAUGCCAACCAUCAAUCCGAGUGGUACCCUUUUUGACGGGCUCCACGGGCGGCUCCUACACCUCGGGAAACCAGAGUCUUUGGGUUCCGGGGGGAGUCUGGUUGCAAAGCUGAAACUUAAAGGAAUUGACGGAAAGGCACCACCAGGCGUGGAGCCUGCGGCUUAAUUUGACUCAACACGGGCAAUCUCACCAGGCCAGGACUCUAGCAUGAUUGACAGAUUGAGAGCUCUUUCUUGAUUCAGUGGAUGGUGGUGCAUGGCCGUUCUUAGUUGGUGGAGUGAUCUGUCUGGUUAAUUCCGAUAACGAACGAGACUCUCCCCUGCUAACUAGUCGGUUGGAUCUUUGUUGCGGGUUAGCAGUGAGCAGGCUGCUUUCCGACCUCGGUGUUGCGGUGCUUCUUGCGUGGCUCUCCGGAGGGGAUGCAUGGUGUGUGUGCGCGCUAUCUCUUGAGGUGUGUGUGCGCGCGCCCUCUCUCUUCUCUGUGAGGACUCGCUGUUGUGUCGCGCCCUUGGUACAGGGAACUUCUCUGCCUGCGCCCAAAGUCCACCGGCCACUCGUGGUCUAUAAGAAUUCUUCUUAGAGGGAUAAACGGUUCUGAAGCCGUCAGAGACUGAGAGCAAUAACAGGUCUGUGAUGCCCUUAGAUGCUCUGGGCCGCACGCGCGCUACAAUGCUGGACACAGCAGGUGUUUCUCCCUGCUCCGAGAGGAGCGGGUAACCCUCUGAAUGUCCUCCGACAUUAAUCUCCUGUUCAGCGCCUCGCCUUCACGGGUGGGUGUUGCAUGGGAGAGCAGCGUGCUUGGGCCUGGGGUUUGCAACUGUCCCCCACAAACGAGGAAUGCCUAGUAGCGGCGGGUCACUGAGCCCGCCGUGACUGAGUCCCUGCCCUUUGUACACACCGCCCGUCGCUACUACCGAUUGGGUGUUCCAGUGAGAACCUUGGACUGGCGGAGUCGCCCCUCAAAGGCGGUAUCACGACUGAAAGAGGUUCGAACUGGUGCACUUAGAGGAAGUAAAAGUCGUAACAAGGUUUCCGUAGGUGAACCUGCGGAAGGAUCAUUA